rnacentral:rRNA from 1 species
AACGGAGGGCGCAAGCGUUGUUCGGAAUCACUGGGCGUAAAGCGCGUGUAGGCGGCUCUGCAAGUCGGGUGUGAAAUCCCGAGGCUCAACCUCGGAACUGCACUCGAUACUGCUUGGCUCGAGUCCCGGAGAGGGUGGCGGAAUUCCCGGUGAAGGGGUGAAAUCCGGAGAUAUCUGGAGGAACACCAGUGGCGAAGGCGGCAUCCUGGUCGGUUACUGACGCUGAGGCGUGAAAGCGUGGGGAGGAAACAGG